GAUUUCUGGCUUGAAACAUUUUGCCGGCCACGGUUUCGUGUGUUAGUGCUUGAUGUUCUGGCCAUCCUUCCAAUUGCUAUUGGCUAUUCUUCAUUGAAUGGUCAGUAGUAUUGGAUCUUUUACUUUGAAAAAAUUAGAGUGUUUCAAGCAGGCUUUAUGCUAUGAAUACAUUAGCAUGGAAUAAUAAUUUAGGACUUCGGUUCUAUUUUGUUGGUUUCUAGGACUGAAGUAAUGAUUGAUAGGGAUAGUUGGGGGUGCUAGUAUUCAGCGGCCAGAGGUGAAAUUCUCGGAUUCGCUGAAGACUAACUUAUGCGAAAGCAUU
rnacentral:rRNA from 1 species